CAAAUUCUAUGUUCUUUCCACUGACUUGUGAUGUCCUUAGCCUUUUGAUGAGGAAUCUGUGCCCUCAGAAGAGGCUGAGUGAUUUGUCAAAGGUCACACAGCCUACCCUGCCAGGAGUGGAGUAACAAGAUGCCACAGGAGGAGAAAAAUCUGUUCUUACAGCUGCAUUUGUGGUUCAACUAGAAGCAGGAAAUAGUAUAAAUCUCAUGACAGAAAUUUGGGGUAUUUUAAUGUUGACAGGCACACGGUGUGUGUGUAAUAUGUGUGUCCUGCCACUUUAAAAGCCAAACUCCCAACCACUGCAGACCAUUAAAAGCCAGGUGUUACUUCCCUGCUGGAGUCCAAGGCGAGUUUGGGGAGAUCAUUCCUUAAGACCGUGACCAGAUGGAUUCUACAGGAUGGGGAAGAGGUCCAUGCUUCAUCAUGAGAUGAAGGCCAGUCUAGCAAAAAAUCA
rnacentral:lncRNA from 1 species